AACGAACGCUAGCGGCAUGCCUAACACAUGCAAGUCGAACAAGACCUUCGGGUCUAGUGGCGCACGGGUGCGUAACGCGUGGGAACCUGCCCUUAGGUUCGGAAUAACUCCCCGAAAGGGGUGCUAAUACCGGAUAAUGUCUUCGGACCAAAGAUUUAUCGCCUUUGGAUGGGCCCGCGUUGGAUUAGCUAGUUGGUAGGGUAAAAGCCUACCAAGGCGACGAUCCAUAGCUGGUCUGAGAGGAUGAUCAGCCACACUGGGACUGAGACACGGCCCAGACUCCUACGGGAGGCAGCAGUGGGGAAUAUUGGACAAUGGGCGAAAGCCUGAUCCAGCAAUGCCGCGUGAGUGAUGAAGGCCUUAGGGUUGUAAAGCUCUUUUACCCGGGAUGAUAAUGACAGUACCGGGAGAAUAAGCUCCGGCUAACUCCGUG
rnacentral:rRNA from 1 species